rnacentral:rRNA from 1 species
UACGUAGGCAGCAAGCGUUGUUCGGAGUUACUGGGCGUAAAGGGUGCGUAGGCGGUUGUUUUAAGUUUGGUGUGAAAUCUCCCGGCUCAACCGGGAGGGUGCGCCGAAUACUGAAUGACUAGAGUGCGGGAGAGGAGAGUGGAAUUCCUGGUGUAGCGGUGAAAUGCGUAGAUAUCAGGAGGAACACCGGUGGUGUAGACGGCUCUCUGGACCGUAACUGACGCUGAGGCACGAAAGCGUGGGUAGCAAACAGG